CCCAAGGCGCCUCCCCGCCCUGUUUCUGCCGUGAAAUAAGCGUGGCUGAUCCACGAAACCACGAAGCGUGAGGAGAGAGGGAGGAAUCCACUGAUUCCACGGCAGCCACAGCAGCCCCAGGCGCCACAGCAGCCCCAGGAACCGCUGGUGGAGCCGCCGGAGCAGUGAAUCUUUAAGAUUGAUUGAUCUAUGGGUAAUUCAAGCCUAAUCCACGUUCUUGAUGACUGGCUA